rnacentral:rRNA from 1 species
AAUGCCUUACCAUGCAAGUCGAACGGUAACAGGUCUUCGGAUGCUGACGAGUGGCGAACGGUGAGUAAUACAUCGGAACGUGCCCGAUCGUGGGGGAUAACGAGGCGAAGCUUUGCUAAUACCGCAUACGAUCUACGGAUGAAAGCGGGGGAUCUUCGACCUCGCGCGGACGGAGCGGCCGAUGGCAGAUUAGGUAGUUGGUGGGAAAAAGCUUACCAAGCCGACGAUCUGUAGCUGGUCUGAGAGGAUGAUCAGCACACUGGGACUGAGACACGGCCCAGACUCCUACGGGAGGCAGCAGUGGGAAUUUUGGACAAUGGGCGAAAGCCUGAUCCAGCCAUGCCGCGUGCAGGUGAAGGCCUUCGGGUUGUAAACUGCUUUUGUACGGAACGAAAAGCCUCUUCUAAUAAAGAGGGGUCAUGACGGUACCGUAAGAAUAAGCACCGGCUAAUACGUGCCAGCAGCCGCGGUAAUACGUAGGGUGCAAGCGUUAAUCGGAAUACUGGGCGUAAAGCGUGCGCAGGCGGUUUUGUAAGACAGAGGUGAAAUCCCGGGCUCAACCUGGGAACUGCCUUUGUGACUGCAAGGCUGGAGUGCGGCAGA